UACGAGGGGAGCAAGCGUUGUUCGGAUUUACUGGGCGUAAAGGGCGCGUAGGCGGCCACGACAAGUCACUUGUGAAAUCUCCGGGCUUAACUCGGAACGGUCAAGUGAUACUGUCGGGCUAGAGUGCAGAAGGGGCAACUGGAAUUCUCGGUGUAGCGGUGAAAUGCGUAGAUAUCGAGAGGAACACCUGCGGCGAAGGCGGGUUGCUGGGCUGACACUGACGCUGAGGCGCGAAAGCCAGGGGAGCGAACGGG
rnacentral:rRNA from 1 species